GAGGAAUAAGCAUCGGCUAACUCCGUGCCAGCAGCCGCGGUAAUACGGGGGAUGCAAGCGUUAUCCGGAAUCAUUGGGCGUAAAGCGCCUGUAGGUUGUUUAAUAAGUCUGUUGUUAAAGACUAGGGCUUAACCCUAGAAAAGCAAUGGAAACUAAUAGACUAGAGUAUGGCAGGGGUAGAGGGAAUUUCUAGUGUAGCGGUGAAAUGCGUAGAUAUUAGAAAGAACACCAGUGGCGAAAGCGCUCUACUGGACCAUUACUGACACUCAGAGGCGAAAGCUAGGGUAGCAAAAGGGAUUAGAUACCCCUGUAGUCCUAGCCGUAAACGAUGGAUACUAGAUGUUGUGCUUCCGUACAGUGUCAUAGCUAACGCGUUAAGUAUCCCGCCUGGGGAGUACGCUCGCAAGGGUGAAACUCAAAGGAAUUGACGGGGGCCCGCACAAGCGGUGGAGCAUGUGGUUUAAUUCGAUGCAACGCGAAGAACCUUACCAGGGCUUGACAUACUACAAAUUCUUUAGAGAUAGAGAAGUGCCUUCGGGAAUGUAGAUACAGGUGGUGCAUGGCUGUCGUCAGCUCGUGUCGUGAGAUGUUGGGUUAAGUCCCGCAACGAGCGCAACCCUUAUUUUUAGUUACCAAUUCGUUGGGUUCUCUAGAAAGACUGCCGGUGACAAACCGGAGGAAGGUGAGGAUGACGUCAAGUCAGCAUGCCCCUUAUGUCCUGGGCUACACACGUGCUACAAUGGUUAAGACAAAGAGUCGCGAGCUCGCAAGAGUCAGCUAAUCUCAUAAACUUAGCCUAAGUUCAGAUUGUAGGCUGCAACUCGCCUACAUGAAG
rnacentral:rRNA from 1 species